rnacentral:misc_RNA from 1 species
AAGAGAAAGCCUUGCUAAAUAUGACGGAUGGAGAAAGCGGAGUCAUAUACAUGGGAUAUAAUAUCUGUGUCUGCACUCAUUAAUUUGUUCUGAUGGUUCGAUGCUCUGCAACAAAUUAUGAGGUUAAGUAAUUCCUUGACCUUGCUUUAAGUGCAAAUCAUUGUUGCUGUGGAAAUGCUCCAUUUCACCAGCUUUUUGAAGGAUCACAGUAGUUCAUUGCUGUUGUAAAAUUCCUUUUUUUUUUUUUUUUUUUU